AUUGAACGCUGGCGGGAGGAAGAACACAUGUAAGUCGAGCGGAUGAAGGGAUCUUGCUUUUGGAUUAAGAGGAGGAGUGGUGAGUAAUGAUUAGGAAUAUGUUUGGUAGUGGGGGAUAACGUCCGGAAACGGGCGCUAAUACCGCAUACGUCCUUAGGGAGAAAGUGGGGGAUCUUCGGACCUCACGCUAUCAGAUGAGCCUAGGUCGGAUUAGCUAGUUGGUGGGGUAAAGGCCUACCAAGGCGACGAUUCGGAACUGGUCUGAGAGGAUGAUCAGUCACACUGGAACUGAGACACGGUCCAGACUCCUACGGGAGGAAGCAGUGGGGAAUAUUGGACAAUGGGCGAAAGCCUGAUCAAGCCAUGCCGCGUGUGUGAAGAAGGGAUUCGGAUUGUAAAGCACUUUAAGUUAGGAUGAAGGGAAGUAAGUUAAUACCUUGCUGUUUUGACGUUACCAACAGAAUAAGCACCGGCUCCCUUCGUC
rnacentral:rRNA from 1 species